GACGAACGCUGGCGGCGUGCUUAACACAUGCAAGUCGAACGGAAAGGCCUGCUUUCCCUUGUGGAUUGCGGGUACUCGAGUGGCGAACGGGUGAGUAACACGUGAGUGAUCUGCCCCCAACUUGGGUAUAAGCCUGGGAAACUGGGUCUAAUUCCCGAUAGGACUGCAGGGUGGUGCCUGUGGUGGAAAACGAUUUUCUAGUGGUUGGGGAUGAGCUCGCGGCCUAUCAGCUUGUUGGUGGGGUAAUGGCCUACCAAGGCGGCGACGGGUAGCCGGCCUGGGAGGGUGGACGGCCACAUUGGGACUGGGAUACGGCCCAGACUCCUACGGGAGGCAGCAGUGGGGAAUAUUGCACAAUGGGCGGAAGCCUGAUGCAGCGACGCCGCGUGGGGGAUGACGGCCUUCGGGUUGUAAACUCCUUUCGACCGCGAGGAAGCCACCUGGUUGGAAGGGUGGUGACGGUAGUGGUAGAAGAAGCACCGGCUAACUACGUGC
rnacentral:rRNA from 1 species